CAUGCAAGUCGAACGAUGAAGCCAGCUUGCUGGUGGAUUAGUGGCGAACGGGUGAGUAACACGUGAGUAACCUGCCCUUGACUCUGGGAUAAGCCUGGGAAACUGGGUCUAAUACCGGAUACGACUCCUCAUCGCAUGGUGGGGGGUGGAAAGCCUUGUGCGGUUUUGGAUGGACUCGCGGCCUAUCAGCUUGUUGGUGGGGUAAUGGCCUACCAAGGCGACGACGGGUAGCCGGCCUGAGAGGGUGACCGGCCACACUGGGACUGAGACACGGCCCAGACUCCUACGGGAGGCAGCAGUGGGGAAUAUUGCACAAUGGGCGAAAGCCUGAUGCAGCGACGCCGCGUGAGGGAUGACGGCCUUCGGGUUGUAAACCUCUUUCAGUAGGGAAGAAGCCUUCGGGUGACGGUACCUGCAGAAGAAGCGCCGGCUAACUACGUGCCAGCAGCCGCGGUAAUACGUAGGGCGCAAGCGUUAUCCGGAAUUAUUGGGCGUAAAGAGCUCGUAGGCGGUUUGUCGCGUCUGCUGUGAAAGACCGGGGCUCAACCCCGGUUCUGCAGUGGGUACGGGCAGACUAGAGUGAUGUAGGGGAGACUGGAAUUCCUGGUGUAGCGGUGAAAUGCGCAGAUAUCAGGAGGAACACCGAUGGCGAAGGCAGGUCUCUGGGCAUUAACUGACGCUGAGGAGCGAAAGCAUGGGGAGCGAACAGGAUUAGAUACCCUGGUAGUCCAUGCCGUAAACGUUGGGCACUAGGUGUGGGGGACAUUCCACGUUUUCCGCGCCGUAGCUAACGCAUUAAGUGCCCCGCCUGGGGAGUACGGCCGCAAGGCUAAAACUCAAAGGAAUUGACGGGGGCCCGCACAAGCGGCGGAGCAUGCGGAUUAAUUCGAUGCAACGCGAAGAACCUUACCAAGGCUUGACAUGGACCGGAAAGGCGCAGAGAUGCGUCCCCCGCUUGCGGCCGGUUC
rnacentral:rRNA from 1 species